AAAAAAUCCAUUGACAUGGUCUCAAACUAGAAAUAUGCCCAUUACAAAUAGGGUUAUAAUGGAGAGCUUGAGGAUGGCUAGCAUCAUAUCUUUUACUUUUAGAGAGGCUAUACAAGAUGUCGAAUAUAAAGGAUUCUUAAUUCCAAAAGGAUGGAAGGUGCUUCCUUUGUUUCGAAACAUUCAUCACAAUCCAGACUACUUCACUAAUCCACAUGUAUUUAACCCUUCAAGAUUUGAGGUUCGACCAAAACCAAAUACUUUCAUGCCCUUUGGAAAUGGUGUACAUGCAUGUCCAGGAAAUGAAGUUGCCAAGCUAGAGAUUCUCAUUCUAAUCCAUCAUCUGGUCACCAAGUUCAGAUGGGAAGUUGUAGGGUCUGCAAAUGGGGUUCAAUAUGAUCCAUUUCCUGUGCCUCAACAAGGUCUCCAAGCUAAGUUUUGGAAAGAAUCUACCAGCUGCACAGCUGGUCAUGAUAUAUAAUAACAUCCUUCAAACAUUUUCAUGUUCAUCUAGCUAGGGUUAAAAGAUCCUUCAAUUCUCUGCCUUCUUUUUCCUCCUCCAUUGUGUCAUUUUCCUACCUAAAAUGUCUCUCACUUUUGACAUAUUUGACUGGGAAAGAGAUGAGAAUUCAAGGGUUUUAAUGUUUCAUGUCACGGGUUUGGCUUCACCUUUGAAUUAAUG
rnacentral:misc_RNA from 1 species